GGCAAAGUUAAAGGAACAGAAACUUCACUUUUUCCAGGCAACUCUCAAAUAUUCAAGGAUCAAAAAAUAAAGCUGUAUUCUGUUACAAGAGAAUGUAAUUUCUCUCCACUAAAAACAGCGGGCAUUUGAGCUCGAUAAUGAGGAGGCAGAAAACAUGUUAAUCUUGUUUUACAAAUUAAGUUCUGCACCCCAGGAAACCCCUCGGUCCCAGACAAAUGGAGAAGAUUGGGCAUCCUCCUGUAGGAGUUUACAAGCUGAUCAUGUUGGGAAAACCAUGUCUUUUAAAAGUUCUUCCUGAAGCACGCUCCCGACUGAAUCACCUGCACCCCAAUUACUGCCUCGGGCUCUGCUUCUAAGGAACUUCAACAGCAAUAAAGUCAAAGACCCUUAGAAAUUUUUCUAGAUGUGGUGUGACUGGCUAUAAUUCCAAGCUUUUUUGGUACUAGCAUUUUGUGUCUUUUGAAUGUAUCACUACAUGGAAAUGGCCUUUAGUGAUAAAGCAAGAAGGGCUGGACUAUUGAUAUUAAAAUGAACUUCCCUGAGUGCCAUCAAAUUAUCUUACCUUUUCUCUCCUUCUUACACGCUGUUCCCCACGGUUAGAACAAUUUUCAGCUUAUUUUUUGUCUAGAAAAUUUUAACUUAUCCUCAGUUUAGAUUCCUUUAAGGAGCCCUCCCAGAUCUCUCCCCACCCUGCCUUCCAAAAUUUAUGUUAGGUGUCUCUCAUGUAGUCCUGUAAUACAGUACAUUCUCUAGACAUGAUAGAU
rnacentral:lncRNA from 1 species